GAAUACCUUUGAAUAGUGUCUGCCUUGACCAUAUGCUUUUUUUCUUCUCAGUGGUGCUGGGGAUUGAACCCAGGGUCAUGCGCAUACCAGGCAAGUGCUCUGCCGGAGCAAAGCCUCCCCUUCUUUAGUAUUAUUCAUAAUUAACACAGAUCUGUGGCAAUAACAAAUGCAAAUCUGAUUACAUGGAAUAGAUUUUCAUGGAUUACCUCCUUAUUAAAAACAUGAGUCUUCAACUUUCUGUUAGUUGCAAAAGUACUCUUUGGGAUCCAUCAGAAUCAAGCAGGGGAAGGAAAGAAGAGAGCAUGAGUGGUGGCCCCAUGACAAGCCCAAGAUGGUGGAAGACUGCCAGCCAGACUGCUUCAGUAAAGAUAUGGAUGUCUGCAACAAAGAACCUGGGAAUGUCCCUCUAGAGAUCCUUCCUCAUGCUAUCAUCUCAUUGAACUUUUAAAUGGCACUGUUGACACUUGGAUUUUUGCCAUCGUGAUGGAAUGACUCUGAGCAAGUUUUAUGGAACCAGCAAGAUCCUGAAGGAAGACCUUACCUCUGCUUCUCUUCUAACGUGGAUGCCACAGUGCCUUCAGAUGUUCCUUCAGGGAAGGACUUCGAUUUCCAAUGACUUGAGAGUGUGUGCUCUCAAGAACCACAUUGAGUUCUGCAGCUGUGGUCAUGCUCUUUUGAAGAAAUCCUGUGGCUCUGUGGCAGGGCAGAGUCACAGCUUGAGCCAAACUGAGUAGCGAGCACCUAGGGGGUUAGAAUGGAGCCUUGCCUUCUGCUUCUGUCAUUUCAGGUUUUAUACAUUGGCUCACUUAAGUGUCUCCAUUUUCUCCCUUCAGUCUUAGAGCCUCAUGGACUUAGACACGUGCUCUGUCACUGAGCUACAUUCCUAGCCUUUGUUACGUUUUUAUUAUUAGAUAAUAGCACAUUGUUCCCAUAGUUUGAUAGCUAAUGAGUAUUAAGGCGUGGAGUGCUGUGGAGAGCUUAUCUGUGAAGAAUGGUACUCCAAUGAGAGCAGACUUCCAGAAGCAGUAGGCAUGGGAAAACCGCAGUACGAGUGCUGAGGGAAGGAGUUCUGCAGCCAGCAAAACUCGCUCCAGCAUGAAGCCAACGUGAAGAGAUUCUUACACAUAUGCUCAGUCUAGUAUUUCAAAAAGGCCUGUGGAUGUCAGUUACAGAGUACCUGCUAGCAGUGGCUAACUACGGAGGCACGCACUGACAGCCUAAUAAAUCUUCUCCAAGUGGA